CCGUGCAGCCGGGGAGUUAGCGGUGCCCUGUACCUGCAAUCCGCUAUAGCAGGGGUGAUGGUCAGUCCCGGGAGGUUUUCUGUGGGGCUGCCCGUAGUAAGCGACGUUGAUGUUUGGGUCUUACGCAACAGGAAUCUGUGAACCGUGUCAGGUUG
rnacentral:SRP_RNA from 1 species